GAUGAAGAACGCAGCGAAAUGCGAUACGUAGUGUGAAUUGCAGAAUUCAGUGAAUCAUCGAAUCUUUGAACGCACAUUGCGCCCUUUGGUAUUCCAAAGGGCAUGCCUGUUCGAGCGUCAUUUGUACCCUCAAGCUUUGCUUGGUGUUGGGCGUCUUUUGUCUCCAGUUCGCUGGAGACUCGCCUUAAAGUCAUUGGCAGCCGGCCUACUGGUUUCGGAGCGCAGCACAAGUCGCGCUCUUAGCCAGCCAAGGUCAGCGUCCAGCAAGCCUUUUUUCAACCUUUGACCGCGGAUCAGGUAGGGAUACCCGCUGAACUUAAGCAUAUCAAUAAGCGGAGGA
rnacentral:misc_RNA from 1 species